AGGUGAAUGGUGACAGCCAACAUGGCUUCACUAAGGGCAGAUCUUGCCUAACAAAUCUGGUGGUCUUCUAAGAUGGGGUUACAGCACUGGUAGAUAGGGGAGGAGCAACUGACAUCAUGACAACCAACUACCUGGACUUGUGCAAAGCAUUUGACACUGUCCCCCAUGAUAUCCUUGUCUCUAAAUUGGAGAGAUGGGGAUUUGAGGGACAGACCACCCAGUGGGUAAGGAAUUGGCUGGAUGGUCACACUCAGAGUUGUGGUCAGUGGCUCAGUGUUGAAGAAAAUGGGUGGAUGCCCCAUCCCUGGAGGUGUUCAAGGCCAGGUUGGAUGGGGUGCUACGCAAACUAACCUAA